rnacentral:rRNA from 1 species
UACACACCGCCCGUCACACCAUGGGAGUCGAUUGCUCCAGAAGUGGCCGUGCUAACCCGCAAGGGAAGCAGGUCCCCAAGGAGUGGUCGGUAACUGGGGUG